GCAGGUAUUUUCCAGGCACGCUCUGGAGUGAAAUCAAGAUUUGAGGUACCCAGAGGAGCCUCAUAGCCAAAGCUUGGAAACGGCAGCACCGAAGCCCCCACGGAGAGCAUCUCAAUGUCCACGUGCGACCGAGGAUGGAUUUUGUCCGCUCCUCUUCCAAAAGCUAAGUGUCGGGGCCAGUGGCUGGGAGAAGGGGAAAAACCUUUACUCUCACAGGAGGCAAUCAGAUGUCAGCUUAGGGGACAGGUCUGUAGCGGGGUGGGCUCUCUGGAAGUAAAGGGAGAGGGUUUCCCCUCAGCCUCGCCAGAGCCUUUGCCGGGCAGGGCAGUUCCAACCCAUCUCCACAUUUUCAUGUACUUUGCAUCGUCCGCCUCCCUCGACUCGACGUCGUCACGGACCUUUGCCCCGAGGAGCUCGCCUUCAGGUCCGGAGCUACGGCCACGGUCACCCGGCAGUCGGCUUCCUUCUCUAGGCUCGCUGAGCCUCUCGAGCAUCCUCUUAACUGCUUCAGCACUAACUUCUUUUAACGAGUUACGUUUCAUCAUCACGUGCUCUUGUCAUAGGGCUUUCUCUCCUUUGGCAUCAUCAGCCUCUGGCUCAUCUUGUGCUAGGAAUCUCAGGUCCCUAAGGGGACAGUGCCAGGCAGUUGCCACUCGUCUCUGUGUCAUGUCAUCUGUGUCUGUGUCAUGUCAUCUGUGUCUGUGUCAUGUCGUCUGUGUCUGUGUUAUGUCGCCCGUGUCUGUGUUAUGUAGUCUGUGUCCAUUGUCUUCCGUGUCACAGGCCUUUGUCACAUCUUGAUGCUUUAUCGGCACUAUUCCGUGCCACAUUGCCCGCGUUCUACUCACGUUCCUUUCCGGAUAUCCCUUAUUCCGGCACCUGUACAUUUUUACUCUGAGACAGGAGUGUCUCAAAGGGACAAGAUGUUCUCAUCCAUCUUCCUUCUCACUACCAGCUUUGGUAGUGCCUUUUUUUCCAUGCCAUUCUCUUGGACUUCUGGAGGAAGCGUCUUACACCCUCCUCACGUGACUGCAGUCGUUCUAUAGGUUCCAUCUUCUCAAAGAGUAUAGGACUCAAGAAUUAGUAUCUUCCAGAGAGCUGUUUAAAGUCCUGGCUUAUACUGUAUGUACUUACACUGCAUGUACCUAUGUUGGCUUAUACUGUAUGUACUUAUAUUGUGUGUACCUAUGCUGGCAUAUAUUGUAUGUACUUACACUCCAUGUACACUUGCACUGUAUGCGUCGGCUUAUAUUGUGUGUACUUAUGUUGUACUGCUUAUGGUCGGAGCUGCCCUGCCCUGGCACGUAGUCACAGUUAGGUAGAACAGUUAUAAAAACUUUACUGUUCCUCUGUCUUUUAUGGGAUUUUGGGUAGAAAACUUACUGGUCCAGAGUGGGGACAAGUCCUAGCUGUCAGCCACUCGUUGACCGCUUCCUGUCGUCUCACAGGUCCCCGAGGCUGCCGAUUUCCCCAUAAUCUACCAUUUGACGUCGAGGAGCAGCAGCCAGAAGAAGCGUGGAAGCGCAUUCUUCAGCGUCUCGAGCUGAGCACAGGGUGAACUCUCUCCUCCUUGCUGUGACACCUGGGCUGGCAGGGAUGACACAGUGACCUCGGCCGGCCGAUGCUGCCUGUGCCAUCACCUGGCACUGACGUGUUUGAUGAAAAUCUUUUGCUGGGAUUUUUCUCCUGAGAAGCCUCAGAACAGAAAUGGAACCAAUAACAAUCUGCUGGCUGUGGAGUGUGGGCUGGAGAUGGUUUAGCAACAGGGGCAUCUUGGAUUGGUCUCCUGUGCAUUGUUUCUACUUGAUGACCAAUCAUGGUCCAGCGGUGUUGGGGCUGUGAGCAGUCCCAGGUUUUUAUUAUUCAUUCCUUUCCAGCUUUCUGAUGUCUCCUUGCUCUUUUAGUAUAGUUCUAAUAUCUGAUUUUCUUUUAAUAUAAUAGAGAUCAUAAAAUAAUAUUUCAGCCUUCUGAAA